GCCAUAAUAGCUCAGUCGAGAGAGCGUUAGGCUGAAGAUCUAAAGAUCGCCGGUUCGAUCUCGGCUUGUGACA
rnacentral:tRNA from 1 species